rnacentral:rRNA from 1 species
AUGCUAGCCAAGUUAACUCUACGGAGUACCCAAGUGAAGCAUGCUGACAUAGUACUUGUAGCACUGGGGAAGCUGACAAAACUUGCCAUUCUACGUCUUCAUAACGAGCCGUUUGAAAAGGGAGAACUCCACAUCCAUUAUCAACCCGAGGCCUUCGCAAGGCUGACAUUUCUCCAGCUUGUGAACCUAUCUGGCCUCAAAUCUGUCAAGUUUGAAGAAAAGGCAACGCCUAAGCUUGAACUGCUUCAGGUACACAAUUAUUUUGUAAGGGUUCCCAGGGAUACAUUUUUUCCCAAGUCUCAAGGAAGUUUCAAUAACGGCGAUAAGGGUGGAUUGAGUGAAAUUUUAAGGAAGCGUUGCGGGAUCUGA